rnacentral:rRNA from 1 species
CAGCCGCCGCGGGAAAACGAAGGGUGCAAGCGUUAAUCGGAAUUACUGGGCGUAAAGCGUGCGUAGGUGGUGGUUUAAGUCCGUUGUGAAAGCCCUGGGCUCAACCUGGGAAUUGCAGUGGAUACUGGGUCACUAGAGUGUGGUAGAGGAUAGUGGAAUUUCCGGUGUAGCAGUGAAAUGCGUAGAGAUCGGAAGGAACAUCUGUGGCGAAGGCGACUAUCUGGGCCAACACUGACACUGAGGCACGAAAGCGUGGGGAGCAAACAGGAUUAGAUACCCCCGUAGUCCCUGUCUCUUAUAC